rnacentral:rRNA from 1 species
UGGGGAAUAUUGCACAAUGGGCGCAAGCCUGAUGCAGCCAUGCCGCGUGUAUGAAGAAGGCCUUCGGGUUGUAAAGUACUUUCAGCGGGGAGGAAGGGAGUAAAGUUAAUACCUUUGCUCAUUGACGUUACCCGCAGAAGAAGCACCGGCUAACUCCGUGCCAGCAGCCGCGGUAAUACGGAGGGUGCAAGCGUUAAUCGGAAUUACUGGGCGUAAAGCGCACGCAGGCGGUUUGUUAAGUCAGAUGUGAAAUCCCCGGGCUCAACCUGGGAACUGCAUCUGAUACUGGCAAGCUUGAGUCUCGUAGAGGGGGGUAGAAGUCCAGGUGUAGCGGUGAAAUGCGUAGAGAUCUGGAGGAAUACCGGUGGCGAAGGCGGCCCCCUGGACGAAGUCUGACGCUCAGGUGCGAAAGCGUGGGGAGCAAACAGG